AUGUAGGAUAUUGCUGUUUUCAGUCCUAAAAUAUGGAGUCAUAAUAAACUGACCAGUCAGGAAAUGUGUGUGUGUGUGUGUGUGUGUGUGUGUGUGUAAUUUCUAUGAAACAAGGUCCUUAAAUGUUUCAAAAUGUUAUAAGAAUAAUCGGGUCUUUAUGUUGUAAGACCUGGCUGUUAUUCUCUUGAUUAUUGAAACUACAUCAGAGAUGUUGCUGGCAUGGUUUGUAGAAGAGAAGAGAAUUUCAGUGCAGUUUUGUACAGGAUAUUUCCCACAGGUGACCUCUCCCCCUCCAGAGCCCACUUCACUCCUGGGUUCGGUGCUUCUUCUCCUUGCUUCCCUGUUGCCACGCAUUUGGUCAGCCUCACUAUGUCUGAUGCUGUGGUGAAAAUGGAGCACAUUCUUUUUUUUUCAUGAUAGCUUUUUAUUUACAAGAUAUAUGCAUGGGAAAUUUUUCAGCAUUGACAACUACAAAACCUUUUGUUCCAAUUUUUCCUGCAUCACUUUAGACCACCUCUUUGCUUCUGAAGGGGGUCUCUGUGCUCUGGCCAAUACUUCCUGGUGCGUUGUCAUCCACACCCUCCAACAAAUUGCACUAUGGGCUGACUGAUCCUGAAGAAGACAAGUGUUAAUCAGAUUUCAGAGGGCCCUACAGGACAGCUAUCUGUCAGCACCUCAGCCUUUGGAUGUGCGAUCCCACCUGUGGAUGCUGCUCCUCCCACCUGUGGAUGCUGCUCCUCCCACCUGUGGAUGCUGCUCCUCCCACCUGUGGAUGCUGCUCCUCCCACCUGUGGAAGGUGCUGGGCUGCAAUUCCCAUCCAGCUCCACUCACUCAUGACUAAGCCUUUAAGCAGGAGCAGGUCUAUGCCCCUUAUCAGCUGGAAACAGUUAUGGAAAAUGAGACAUUCAUUCCUGGCCCCAAAGGGAUUUGGGUCACAGGUCUUUGAGGGGAAUCAUGGAGUGUUUGCUGCUGCCGCAGCCCCAGCAGUUCUACCACUUUCUCUCAGAGACUUCAUUGGAAUAAAAGGACCCUUUGCUUUUUCCAUGUAUAAGGCGCUGCCCCCGCUCCAGAACAAAAGGGUUUUUACCCUUUUCACAGGGACCUUGCUCAUGCAUGCCCGACCUGGGAUUGUAAAAGAAGUGCAAAAUCUACUGAGCUCAUCCAACUUGCUGCCAAAUUCUCCUAUUUUUUGCUUCCUUUCCCUUCUCUGAAUAAACCCUCACAUCACUCUGCUGGGUGUCCCCCCCCUUAAAGAGGAGGUUCCCAGUGUGGUUUACCCUUUACUUAAGCAAAUGGCCAAAUCAGUGUCUUUGCUUGAUUUGAGGUGGUUUGAGCCUGACUUCUUUCAGAGAAGCUACCAGAAACCAUUGCCCAGCACCCCCGAUCUUCAGUGUACCCCGCGUUGAGUCUUUUCUCACAAAAGGUCCCAACUUCCUCCUUACUAAAUGUGAGUCCCACUAGGGCACUGUGCCUGAUUUAUGGCAUCAUAAUAAAACGUUUUGCCCCUUGAA